UCCCAAACCAAAACUUCACUAGUCUUUGAAAAAAACAUCUGCUAUGACAGAGACUAAAUGCACUGGGGCCAACAUUAAAAUUUAAGGUGGCUGUGAUUAGACUCCAAAAUGCCUGUCAGAACACUUACACCAUAGACUGAUUCCAAGAGGUACAGAGUAUACAAUGGCUCUAUUAUUUUAGGAGAACCUUUGCCACCAGCCUGUUUGUCAGAGCGAAGUGUGAAAUAGUCAAGGCCCAAAUGAUCAUCCCACCACAGCAGCAGUCCACGUGUUCCAGCAGGCAGUACCUACCCUCACUGGACCCAGAAACAGGAGACAGUUGGAAUGGGAGAAAGUAGAGGAGAGGAAGAGGAGAAUUCAUGUGCUGUGCCCAUGAGGAUGUACUCAGGCAUCAGGAUAGGCCAGCCAUUCACUUCCCCCGUCCUCAAGGAGAUGAGCUUGUUUUCCAUAGUAACCACCGCUGUACAACCAUGCCAUCUGCCUGUCUGCCUCCCAGCUCCAACUUCAGUGAAACAUCCACCUUGAGCCAAGUUUGAGAGAGGUGCAACAUUCUCAAAGAUGGUAAGUUAUUACAAGUUCAUUGGAAAAUUAGCAGCCGAAAAGUGGAAAGAAGGCAAAUUUAGUAUCUCAUUGUGAGUCAAAAGACAGAUCCAACUCAAUGUCUCUAUUUGAAGAGGCAGCAGCCAUCUGGCCAGCGUGUAGGCACAUUUUGGCUGUUUUGUCAAGACACAGAAUCACAGAAGCACAAAAUAACAGAAUUAUUAAGGCUGGAAAAAAUCUUCAAGCAUACUUAUGACUGAUCACACCUUGGCAAUUAGACAGGACGUGGUACUAAGUGCCACGUCCAGUCAUUUGUUGAAGACAUCCAAGGACAGUGAUUCCAUCACGAUCCUGAACAGCCCA